rnacentral:lncRNA from 1 species
CCAAGAUAAACUCACCAUACCAAAAACUCUGAGGGUGGCCACAAAAAGGACGACUGAAAAAGUCCAAAAAUAGCUUUCACUUAACCCAUUUUCUCCUUCACUUCACCCUUUUGAUAACGAUUUCUUCUUUCAAUUAUGAAUUUCCUUUUCCAAAUUCCCAAUCACUAAACCCUAUUCAUCAAUUAACAACCAUGGUUCCUCCGGCGACGCGAUCGCCGAACCCUAAGAAACCCAACAAUUCCUCAGUUAUGUCCUCUCCCAGUACGAUCCAUCCGCGGUACCAUACUCCGAAGACACAAAACCGUUCACCACCAU